UAGACCGAAUAAUCUGUCUCUUGUGUGGGUACAUUUGUCAUUUCAUAUUUUCUUUUCAUCAUUUGGCUAUUUAUUAUUUUUUUUUUUUUUGUGUCCACACGGAGACAGAAAGUGCUACUAUCAAAAAGUAGUAGAAAGCCUACAAUUUGUAUGCAGUGGAUUUUCAGGGUUUUGUUGCUUCCCGAGUGUUGCAAACACCUACCGAUCGUUUGUUUAUGGAUUAUUCUACAUAUCCGACUAUGUCUCGAUGUUUAUUCUCCCUCAGAAAAGCCCCUAUUAUCAUAUUUGUUCAGCUCUGAUUCACUCCACUUUAAAUAUCAAUGGAUUCCAUUCAUAAAUAUUCUGACCAAUCAAAAUCACUUUCUCAUUUUCAUGGGAAGGGAGAUAAUUUGAUCACAUGAUCGAAACAGAAACCAU
rnacentral:lncRNA from 1 species